ensembl:lncRNA
GCCAAACCAUCAUAAUGUGUUCAUCACAUCUCAUUCCUGAAAGACCUUCAGUUUAGGGCCUGAACCCUGAAGACUUGUUCAUUGUAAAUAUAUCAUUGGAAUAUUGAUCAACUGAAAUUCAUGCAUCACUCAGAGAGAUAUUGACUGAAACACCAUAAUAAAGCCAGUAAAAUUUAACUAGUAGUUGUGCUGAGUACUUUUUUCUUCACUCUGACCUUCCUUUUCUGCAAAAUGGGUGUAGAAAGAGAAAGAUAGAUUACAGAUUACAGAAAAAAGACAGAAUACACUUCUCAACAUUUCAUGGUGGUUUUAACAGACGGUAACCUCAGUUGUGACAGCACUUCUAUAUUUUUACUACUCCCACAGUAAAUUCUGCAAAUUUAUUAUAAAACCCCACACAGUGUGUGAGAGGAACAGGAGGUGACACAGCAGCGAACAGGACGAUGGCAGCGGUCGGAUGGACUGGAUUCACGUUGUUUCUGCUGCUCAACAUCUCCACGGGAAAAGACCCAGAGAGGUUCACUGUGAGCUGUAAUGUUGGACAGACUGUCACUUUACCCUGUAAUCACACCAUGUCCGACUGCUCCAUGGUCACCUGGAUAUUGAAUUCCACUGUACUAGUUGCUAAAGGGAAGGUCAAAGAGACACAGAGAUCUGGAAGACUGACAGUGGGGUCUGACUGCUCUCUAUACAUUGAGAACCUGAAGACUAAAUAUACUGGACGGUACACCUGUCGACUGUAUCACAGUAACAAUAACAAUGGUUACACUGAUAUUUCUGAUGUUUCUCUGUCUGUUGGCAAAAAUACCAAGACAAACUGCUUCACUCCUGUAGUGUCUCCAUCCAUUGUCUCUCCUACAGGUUUAACAAUGAGCAACGCGGAGCUAUCAAUUCGAUUGGUUUUCUUUUUCAUCAUUCUGAUCCUUCCUCCUGUCAUUGGAAUCAUUUACACCAAGAGCAGAAACCAUCCAAUCAGAGGUCAGGUGUCCUCUGGUACAGAACUCCAAGAAUAUGUGAAUGGCUAGAUGAUAAACAGAAAUCUCCAUUUUCAUCUUAUAUUCUCCAUUUUACUGUGUCUGCUACAGGCCUCCUCUAUGACAAAGACAGUGAUUUCAGGGUUGUACUAAACACACCAGUAUGAGAACACUGUCAUUAUUUUUAAGGACGUUUAUGUUGAAUGUUUAUCACAUUAACCUCAUUUGUAGCACAUUUUUUUCUCCCUUUUGCUGUUUGCAUUAUUUUCUAUGGAAUGAACUGUAGGUCAACUGCUUGUGUUUCCAUAGGUGUCAAAUCUUGUCAAAUGACCCAGCUGAUGAUUGUUAUUUAUACAACAGUUCUUACUCAGCUUUCAGAUAACAGUUUUAUCAAAAGAGUUCAGUUACAGUGAGUCUGUAUCAAGGAAAAGGUUUGAAAAGCUGGCAGAUCUGAUGGCCUCUUCAGUUUUUUUUAUUGAACUCUUUCAAUGUCUCUAAUUUUAAAGAUUGUAUUUUAUUUUACCAGUCCCAUGUGGGUUUAGGAUGGGAGGUGUGUGUGGGAGGUGGGUUGUUUAAGGGAUACAAUUGUUUGGUCUGACCAUAGUUUACUGUAAAGCCCUUGUUGUGAAUAUUAGUUAAUAAUUAUUUACAAAAUAAAGUGGCUUUGUCAAGUGUGUCUAAUCUCUCU